UAUAGGUUUGGUCCCAGCCUUCCUGUUAACUUUCAAUAGACUUAUACAUGCAAGCAUCCACGCCCCGGUGAGUAACGCCCUUCGAAUCACACAGGACUAAAAGGAGCAGGUAUCAAGCACACACUCUUGUAGCUCACAACGCCUUGCUUAACCACACCCCCACGGGAGACAGCAGUAACAAAAAUUAAGCCAUAAACGAAAGUUUGACUAAGCCAUAUUGACCAGGGUUGGUAAAUCUCGUGCCAGCCACCGCGGUCAUACGAUUGACCCAAGCUAACAGGAGUACGGCGUAAAGCGUGUUAAAGCAUCAUACUAAAUAGAGUUAAAUUUUAAUUAAACUGUAAAAAGCCAUAAUUAUAACAAAAAUAAAUGACGAAAGUAACCCUACAAUAGCUGAUACACCAUAGCUAAGACCCAAACUGGGAUUAGAUACCCCACUAUGGUUAGCCCUAAACACAAAUAAUUAU
rnacentral:rRNA from 1 species